rnacentral:misc_RNA from 1 species
CCGACGCAAUCCCCAACCGCCCUCCGCAAUCCCCUACCGCCCGCCGUGAUCCCCGCCGCCGCGGCAGUCGCCCUCCGCAACCUCUGCCUAGAUAAGGAUAGGGGGCGCCCUCCUCCCUCGAUCAUCCGCACUUGUGUAGCCAUCGCGCCAUCUACACCGGCCACCGCCACACGGAGGUUCGCCUCUGGCCUUGCGGCUUACGACCUCGAGGUGACCGAGCCCGCGGGCUCCAUGACGACAACGGUGACGCCGGAGGCAAAGAUGGCGGCGCAGCAGCAGGCCCCCGCGUCGCGCUCCUCCUCCCGACCUCGUCGUCGAGUCCCUAUUCCCGCCGGACCUCGAUAUCUUCGCAGGCCGCUGGACCCCGCCGGGGCGGGUGACCGAUGCAGUGCGCUCUCGAUCCGUGCAGAGCGCAGGUGGUUGGAUGGCCUUCGUGCAGUCCGUCG